AAACCAACAGGGAUUGCCUCAGUAACGGCGAGUGAAGCGGCAAAAGCUCAAAUUUGAAAUCUAGUGCCUUUGGUACUCGAGUUGUAAUUUGAAGAUGGUAACUUUGGAGUCGGCCCUUGUCUAUGUUCCUUGGAACAGGACGUCAUAGAGGGUGAGAAUCCCGUCUGAUGGGGUGUCCGAUUCUAUGUAAAGUGCUAUCGAAGAGUCGAGUUGUUUGGGAAUGCAGCUCUAAGUGGGUGGUAAAUUCCAUCUAAAGCUAAAUAUUGGCGAGAGACCGAUAGCGAACAAGUACAGUGAUGGAAAGAUGAAAAGAACUUUGAAAAGAGAGUGAAAAAGUACGUGAAAUUGUUGAAAGGGAAGGUUAUUAGAUCAGACUUGGUGUUUUGUGAUUAUCUUCCUCUUGUAGGUUGUGCACUCGCAUUUCGCUGGGCCAGCAUCGAUUCGAGCGGCAGGAUAAUGGCAUUGGAACGUGGCUUUCUUCGGGAAGUGUUAUAGCCUUUGUUGAUGCUGCCAGCUUGGAUCGAGGACUGCGUCUUUUGACUAGGAUGCUGGCGUAAUGAUCUAAUAUCGC
rnacentral:rRNA from 1 species